GUAAUGUGCUUCCUUACCAACAGAUGAAAUUUGUAUUAAAUCAAAUCUAGAUGGCGUUCAUGAGAUUCGUAAUUGCUGACAGAUGCAGUAGCAUGACGAUCGCUAGCCCCCCCCCAAACCACUUCACAGCAAAAAUCAACCUUUGGUGAUCCUACCAGUUGCUCUGUAACCGUGAAGGGAGCCAGCUGCCUGAAGGGGGCCAUCCCAGUACCUCAAGCAGAAGUCCAUGCUUUGAGUAGCACAGGGCUGCCCUGAGCAGGAGGACAGGCAGAGGAAGAGGUGCAUCGUCAUGGCCUGAAGGAGAGAAGAGGACAGCAGUAAACAUGGGCUUUCAGACAGUGGGAAAUUCUACAUGGACAAGAGCACAUUCAAGUACAGUAAACUCUCACUAAAUCUGGUUGCAGUUUAAUCUCGAUCAAAAUAUGAGAAAUGCUGUUCACAGGUGAGUACAUACUUUAAAAGAUGCAUGGCAUUUAGGAAGGCAGAUCAGUCAGACAAAACUUGACAGUUUCUUCAAAACUGCAUUAUUACAUUAAAAAACAAGUAAACUUCUGAGUCUUCCACCAAUGAAUAAAGGUACUGGCUCUUUACAGCGCCAUGAUUUAGGAGUUACUAUAGCUGGAGUAUGGAUUUACUGAUCACUUCCAGAUCAUAACUACAAAUAAUUAUAACACUAUCGCCAAUUUCCACACUUUACAAAUGCUGAGUCUUCUCCAGCCUGCAGUGUCUUCACUAGUCAUUGCUUGGUAACAUCUCACAACAAUGGAGACUCUUCAGUAUCUGUGCUCACAUUGUUACUGUUCGGCAAAUCUCCCACAACUGAUUGUCAACUUAUAUUACAAUGCCAUCUCUACUCAGCUUCCCUUGCAGAAAUCAACUGAACUGACUACUGUCUAAUUCCUAGGCUGGCAGCCAUUUCACACCAACCUCCUACAGGCUCUUCACCUCCUACAGUCUUCUCU